UGGGGAAUAUUGCACAAUGGGCGCAAGCCUGAUGCAGCCAUGCCGCGUGUGUGAAGAAGGCCUUCGGGUUGUAAAGCACUUUCAGCGAGGAGGAAGGGUUCAGUGUUAAUAGCACUGUUCAUUGACGUUACUCGCAGAAGAAGCACCGGCUAACUCCGUGCCAGCAGCCGCGGUAAUACGGAGGGUGCAAGCGUUAAUCGGAAUUACUGGGCGUAAAGCGCACGCAGGCGGUUUGUUAAGUCAGAUGUGAAAUCCCCGCGCUUAACGUGGGAACUGCAUUU
rnacentral:rRNA from 1 species